GAUGAACGCUAGCUACAGGCUUAACACAUGCAAGUCGAGGGGAAACGAUAUUGGAAGCUUGCUUCCGAUAGGCGUCGACCGGCGCACGGGUGAGUAACGCGUAUCCAACCUGCCCACCACUUGGGGAUAACCUUGCGAAAGUAAGACUAAUACCCAAUGACGUCUCUAGAAGACAUCUGAAAGAGAUUAAAGAUUUAUCGGUGAUGGAUGGGGAUGCGUCUGAUUAGCUUGUUGGCGGGGUAACGGCCCACCAAGGCGACGAUCGGUAGGGGUUCUGAGAGGAAGGUCCCCCACAUUGGAACUGAGACACGGUCCAAACUCCUACGGGAGGCAGCAGUGAGGAAUAUUGGUCAAUGGGCGAGAGCCUGAACCAGCCAAGUAGCGUGCAGGACGACGGCCCUAUGGGUUGUAAACUGCUUUUAUGCGGGGAUAAAGUCAGGGACGUGUCCCUGUUUGCAUGUACCACAGGAAUAAGGACUGGCUAAUUCCGUG
rnacentral:rRNA from 1 species